rnacentral:piRNA from 1 species
UGCUGCAGUGGAGGCUGGACAAUCU